GCUGCACUGACACAGGAAUCAACUCUAGUGACCGUCUGAGCGUCUGUCAGUAGAGGUGUCACUAAGAAGCAAUGUAAACACUGCCUUUUCUCUGAAAAGUCAGUGUUUACAUUGAAAAGCCUGCGGGGACAGGCUAUAGACACCAGAACCACUACAUAUGGCUGUGUGUGUGUGCGCCUGCUAGUGAGUGGGCUUGCUUGUAUGUGUGUGUGUGCCUGCUAAUGAGUGAGCUUGUG